ACUUUGAAUGAUACGUCGGCAAAGACGCGAAAUUAUCGUCGUGGACUGUGAGGCUACAAUUGUAAAAUGCGCGGUGGUUCUGGUAAGAUAUCGAAAACUGUCAUUCUCUUGUGUUGUGCUAUAGGAACAUUGUUGUCUGUUUAUGCACUGCAUGUCGAGAUACAUGCGGAAAAUGACAAAAACUACAGAGCCAGCUGUGACAUAAGUGCAACGAUCAGUUGUUCAAAGGUCUUUAAAUCAAGCCUUCUCCUCCUCGCCAGGACUAGCUUCCACACAGCUUUACCUCAGUGCCUUCUCCAAUGUGGCAUCUGUAUAUUUAGGAUAUAUAUUAUAUUUCAUUCUGAAAGACAUCUGUAUUGUUUGCCUGUCAACAUAUAUCACAAAUGCUCUCCUUUUGGUGGCAGUGUAUUACAAGAACAAAUCAGUGCAAGAGAUUAAACAGAAAAAAGAAAGGAAAAAGCAGAAGUGAUGAAAGUGAUAGUUUCUGUAAUCAUUGCAUGACAAAAAUCACAAAUGCAUGCAUGGGUAUGACAAAGAAGCGAUUACAGAUGUAUGUUGUUCGACGCUGUUGUUCAUGCAUGUGAGUCAAGAAAUUUCAAGUCCCAUUAAAAAUGAAUGAAUUGUUGAAUGAGUGAUAUAAAGGCAAGCUAAUGCUUUAUGUUUUUCAUUAUAAGGUAGACAAGAGUGUUUAAUUUUUGCAUUGUAUUCUCAAAGUAGUGGAUGCAAAAAUCAUGGAAAAAAUAGCAUGUGUGAAUUAACUGAAUUUUGUAAUUCCAUAUUACUGACAUCAUUUAUGUUAUUGUAGAUUUAUUUGUUUAAAACAAAUACAUAUUUUAGUCUAAGACUAAACAGAUACCAAUGUAUGACAAAUUGAAAGAAUUUGCAAUGUACUAGUUGUUGUAGAUGUUCUCACAUUUACAUACAUGUAUUGUAUAAAUGAUCAUUGAAUUUGGUUUCUGUUGUCAGAGACAUAGAACUGGUAUUUUGAUAUGAUUACAUGUACAUUAUAUUUCAAUGAUUUGAUGUUCAGUAUUCUAUAUGAUGUCAGCUACUUAAAACACAAAAACUUAAUAAGUGUUAGUGUGUUAAAUUGUACAUGUAUAUCCAUACUGUGGUAUUAUAAUAUUAAUAUUUGCUCAGAAGCUGUCAACCAUAUUGCUUGUCCACAUAUUUCUCACUUCUCAAAAUUGUCCUCAUCUCAGUAUUCAAAUAAAAUUCAUAUG
rnacentral:misc_RNA from 1 species